rnacentral:rRNA from 1 species
UACGGGGGGAGCAAGCGUUGUUCGGAUUUACUGGGCGUAAAGGGCGCGUAGGUGGCGGCAUAAGGCCGCGGUGAAAGUCUGGGGCUCAACCCCAGAUCGGCCGCGGCGACUGUGUCGCUCGAGCACGGUAGAGGCAGAUGGAAUUCCGGGUGUAGCGGUGGAAUGCGUAGAUAUUCGCAAGAACACCAGUGGCGAAGGCGGCUUACUGGUCCGGAACUGACGCUGAGGUGCGAAAGCGUGGGGAGCAAACAGG